AACCGGACCAAGGAGUCUAACAUGUGUGCGAGUCAAUGGGUGGUAAACCUACGGGCGCAAUGAAAGUAAUGCACGUGAUCUGUGCGGCAGCGCGCAGCGCAACGUGGUCCCGUUUCAUCUGCUUUUGUCAGUGGAGCGGAGAUUGAGCAUACACGUUAGGACCCGAAAGAUGGUGAACUAUGCCUGAGCAGGAUGAAGCCAGAGGAAACUCUGGUGGAGGUCCGUACCAGUUCUGACGUGCAAAUCGAUUGUCAGACUUGGGUAUAGGGGCGAAAGACUAAUCGAACCCUCUAGU
rnacentral:rRNA from 1 species